rnacentral:rRNA from 1 species
CCUACGGGGGGCUGCAGUGGGGAAUAUUGGACAAUGGGCGAAAGCCUGAUCCAGCCAUGCCGCGUGUGUGAAGAAGGCCUUCGGGUUGUAAAGCACUUUCAGUAGGGAAGAAAGCCUUGGGGCUAAUACCCUCGAGGAAGGACAUCACCCACAGAAGAAGCACCGGCUAACUCCGUGCCAGCAGCCGCGGUAAUACGGAGGGUGCGAGCGUUAAUCGGAAUUACUGGGCGUAAAGCGCGCGUAGGCGGUCUGAUAAGCCGGUUGUGAAAGCCCCGGGCUCAACCUGGGAACGGCAUCCGGAACUGUCAGGCUAGAGUGCAGGAGAGGAAGGUAGAAUUCCCGGUGUAGCGGUGAAAUGCGUAGAGAUCGGGAGGAAUACCAGUGGCGAAGGCGGCCUUCUGGACUGACACUGACGCUGAGGUGCGAAAGCGUGGGUAGCAAACAGGAUUAGAUACCCUAGUAGUC